rnacentral:rRNA from 1 species
UGAGGAAUAUUGCACAAUGGGCGCAAGCCUGAUGCAGCAACGCCGCGUGCGGGACGAAGGCCUUCGGGUCGUAAACCGCUUUUCUGGGGGAAGAGCAAGGACGGUACCUCAGGAAUAAGUCUCGGCUAACUACGUGCCAGCAGCCGCGGUAAAACGUAGGAGGCGAGCGUUAUCCGGAUUUACUGGGCGUAAAGCGCACGCAGGCGGCUCUGUUAGUCGGACGUGAAAGCUCUCGGCUUAACCGGGAGAGGCCGUUCGAUACUGCGGGGCGUGAGGUAGGGAGAGGAAUGCGGAAUUCCCGGUGUAGUGGUGGAAUGCGUAGAUAUCGGGAGGAACACCUGUGGCGAAAGCGGCAUUCUGGCCCUCACCUGACGCUGAGGUGCGAAAGCGUGGGUAGCAAACA